rnacentral:rRNA from 1 species
UGGCGGCAUGCCUAACACAUGCAAGUCGAACGAACCCUUCGGGGUUAGUGGCGCACGGGUGCGUAACGCGUGGGAACCUGCCCUUAGGUUCGGAAUAACUCAGAGAAAUUUGAGCUAAUACCGGAUAAUGUCUUCGGACCAAAGAUUUAUCGCCUUUGGAUGGGCCCGCGUAAGAUUAGGUAGUUGGUGGGGUAAAGGCCUACCAAGCCGACGAUCCUUAGCUGGUCUGAGAGGAUGAUCAGCCACACUGGGACUGAGACACGGCCCAGACUCCUACGGGAGGCAGCAGUGGGGAAUAUUGGACAAUGGGCGAAAGCCUGAUCCAGCAAUGCCGCGUGAGUGAUGAAGGCCUUACGGUUGUAAAGCUCUUUUACCACGGAUGAUAAUGACAGUACCUGGAGAAUAAGCUCCGGCUAACUCCGUGCCAGCAGCCGCGGUAAUACGGAGGGAGCUAGCGUUGUUCGGAAUUACUGGGCGUAAAG